rnacentral:rRNA from 1 species
AGGACGAACGCUGGCGGCGUGCUUAACACAUGCAAGUCGAACGGAAAGGCCCUGCUUUUGUGGGGUGCUCGAGUGGCGAACGGGUGAGUAACACGUGAGUAACCUGCCCUUGACUUUGGGAUAACUUCAGGAAACUGGGGCUAAUACCGGAUAGGAGCUCCUGCUGCAUGGUGGGGUUGGAAAGUUUCGGCGGUUGGGGAUGGACUCGCGGCUUAUCAGCUUGUUGGUGGGGUAGUGGCUUACCAAGGCUUUGACGGGUAGCCGGCCUGAGAGGGUGACGGCC